rnacentral:rRNA from 1 species
GACGAACGCUGGCGGCGUGCCUAAUACAUGCAAGUUGAGCGCUGAAGGUUGGUACUUGUACCAACUGGAUGAGCAGCGAACGGGUGAGUAACGCGUGGGGAAUCUGCCUUUGAGCGGGGGACAACAUUUGGAAACGAAUGCUAAUACCGCAUAAAAACUUUAAACACAAGUUUUAAGUUUGAAAGAUGCAGUUGCAUCACUCAAAGAUGAUCCCGCGUUGUAUUAGCUAGUUGGUGAGGUAAAGGCUCACCAAGGCGAUGAUACAUAGCCGACCUGAGAGGGUGGUCGGCCACAUUGGGACUGAGACACGGCCCAAACUCCUACGGGAGGCAGCAGUAGGGGAUCUUCGGCAAUGGACGGAAGUCUGACCGAGCAACGCCGCGUGAGUGAAGAAGGUUUUCGGAUCGUAAAACUCUGUUGGUAGAGAAGAACGUUGGUGGGAGUGGAAAGCUCAUCAAGUGACGGUAACUACCCAGAAAGGGACGGCUAACUACGUG